UAUUUAAUUUUGCGAGUAGAA
rnacentral:piRNA from 1 species